rnacentral:rRNA from 1 species
CGGCGGCCACCGCUAUAGGAAUUCGAUUAAGACAUGCGAGUCGAGAGUCGUAAUGGACUCGGCGGACUGCUCAGUAACACGUGGAUAACGUGCCCUUAAGUGGAGGAUAAUUUCGGGAAACUGAGAAUAAUACUCCAUAGAUUAUGGAAUCUGGAAUGAUCCAUAGUCGAAAGUUCCGGCGCUUAAGGAUCGGUCUGCGGCCUAUCAGGUAGUAGUGGGUGUAACGUACCUACUAGCCUAUGACGGGUAUGGGCCUUGAGAGAGGGAGCCCAGAGUUGGAUUCUGAGACACGAAUCCAGGCCCUACGGGGCGCAGCAGUCGCGAAAACUUCACAAUGGGGGCAACCCCGAUGAGGGAAUUCCUAGUGCUAUCACAAUUGUGUUAGCUUUUCUCUAGCGUAGAUAA